AGUGAACGCUGGCGGUAGGCCUAACACAUGCAAGUCGAACGGCAGCACAGUAAGAGCUUGCUCUUACGGGUGGCGAGUGGCGGACGGGCGAGGAAUACAUCGGAAUCUACUUUUUCGUGGGGGAUAACGUAGGGAAACUUACGCUAAUACCGCAUACGACCUACGGGUGAAAGCAGGGGAUCUUCGGACCUUGCGCGAUUGAAUGAGCCGAUGUCGGAUUAGCUAGUUGGCGGGGUAAAGGCCCACCAAGGCGACGAUCCGUAGCUGGUCUGAGAGGAUGAUCAGCCACACUGGAACUGGGACACGGUCCAGACUCCUACGGGAGGCAGCAGUGGGGAAUAUUGGACAAUGGGCGCAAGCCUGAUCCAGCCAUACCGCGUGGGUGAAGAAGGCCUUCGGGUUGUAAAGCCCUUUUGUUGGGAAAGAAAAGCAGCAGGUUAAUACCCCGCUGUUCUGACGGUACCCAAAGAAUAAGCACCGGCUAACUUCGUG
rnacentral:rRNA from 1 species